rnacentral:rRNA from 1 species
UACGUAGGGCGCAAGCGUUGUCCGGAAUUAUUGGGCGUAAAGAGCUCGUAGGCGGUCUGUCGCGUCUGCCGUGAAAACCCGAGGCUUAACCUCGUGGCUUGCGGUGGAUACGGGCAGACUAGAGGUAGGUAGGGGAGAAUGGAAUUCCCGGUGUAGCGGUGAAAUGCGCAGAUAUCGGGAGGAACACCGGUGGCGAAGGCGGUUCUCUAGUACGGUACUGACGCUGAGACGCGAAAGCGUGGGGAGCGAACAGG